CAGUCGCCGCGGUAACACGUAGGUGGCAAGCGUUGUCCGGAAUUAUUGGGCGUAAAGGGCUCGCAGGCGGUUUCUUAAGUCUGAUGUGAGAGCCCCCGGCUCAACCGGGGAGGGUCAUUGGAAACUGGGAAACUUGAGUGCAGAAGAGGAGAGUGGAAUUCCACGUGUAGCGGUGAAAUGCGUAGAGAUGUGGAGGAACACCAGUGGCGAAGGCGACUCUCUGGUCUGUAACUGACGCUGAGGAGCGAAAGCGUGGGGAGCGAACAGGAUUAGAUACCCCCGUAGUCCCUGUCUCUUAUAC
rnacentral:rRNA from 1 species